GAUGAAGAACGUAGCGAAAUGCGAUACGUAAUGUGAAUUGCAGAAUUCAGUGAAUCAUCGAGUCUUUGAACGCACAUUGCGCCCCCUGGUAUUCCGGGGGGCAUGCCUGUCCGAGCGUCAUUACGCCCCUCAAGUCCCCUGUGGACUUGGUGUUGGGGAUCGGCGAGGCUGGUUUUCCAGCACAGCCGUCCCUUAAAUUAAUUGGCGGUCUCGCCGUGGCCCUCCUCUGCGCAGUAGUAAAACACUCGCAACAGGAGCCCGGCGCGGUCCACUGCCGUAAAACCCCCCAACUUUUUAUAGUUGACCUCGAAUCAGGUAGGACUACCCGCUGAACUUAAGCAUAUCAAUAAGCGGAGGA
rnacentral:misc_RNA from 1 species